GGAGACAUGAAAAUAAUUUACAGAUGUGCGUUACCUGUUUGUGUUUGUACCAAGUUUUGCUCCGUGGACGUAAUUUUCUUAGCUUGCAGUAACAAAAAAAUAUUCCCAGAGUUUCACUCGUUUAAUUUGGACUUAUUAAAACUUUUAAACAUGUGCGGAGGUUUCGGGUUUUUACAUCACUAAUCACAUGGACGCACGCCAAGAUUUCUAUUAAAGCCUUUUAUGAACACUGUUUUUAAAAGGCUCUGAAACCCCCGUUGCAUUUAACCCCUGAAACCGCUCCAACUGAGAAACUUGCACUGGGUUGAUGUCACAUCCACCUCGUAUUGCAAAAAGAUGUGAGGCGUGCGUGGGGUUCUGCCUCCUUCCUUCCUUCCCCUCUGCUGCAGGAGUCCCUGCAGGAGCAACGGGUUGGCAGUGGGACAGCACAGAGGUGGCUCAGGGUGCAGCUGGGGCUGGCACAGAGGGCACCAGGGCCACAAAGCUGCGUGUGUCCAGGUUGGGUCCUGCCCCGUGCCAUCACCCCGAGGCGCAUGGUGCUGCCACUGCAUCCAUAUACAGUGGCCAAUGCCACCUCCCCACUUGUCCCCAGUUUGGCACAGGGCACAGUGGGGACCCUGGUGGCCACCUGCCCAUGGGCUUUUCUGUAGAUGUGGGGAAGGAAACGCAGCAUGGUGAGAGGUUCUGCACGCAGAGAACAAGUCCGGGCAAAGCGAGGUUGCUGCAGCAGGAGGGAGAAAGGGGCAAGAUGAGGGGAGCAGAGAACAGAUCCCCAUGGCCAGAGGGUGGUGGAACUUCCAGGGGCCACUGCACGUCUCCAGUGGAGGUGACACAGUCUGGUGGCACAGAGAUAUCGCUCAGCCAAGGCUGCAUCCCACUGCACAGCCACUGCAGGGGGUGGGACAGGGGUACCCACUUCCCAAGGGUGCAAAAUGUCUGGGCAGGUGGGCAUUACACCAAAUUCCUUCACUGUUUUGCAUCUGCUUACUGUCCUGCAGCAAUGCAGCAAAGCAAAGCACGUGGCCCUGGGAUGCUCUGAAAUCCUUCACAGCUCUCAGCAUCACCC
rnacentral:lncRNA from 1 species